rnacentral:tRNA from 1 species
CCUUAGCUCAGUGGUAGUAGCGCACCCCUAGUAAGGGUGAGGUCGCGAGUUCGAACCUCGCAG